rnacentral:tRNA from 1 species
GCCGCUUUAGCUCAGUUGGUAGAGCAACGCAUUUGUAAUGCGUUUGUCCUCGGUUCGAGUCCGAGAAGCGGCUCCA